rnacentral:rRNA from 1 species
CCUACGGGAGGCAGCAGUGAGGAAUAUUGGUCAAUGGACGAGAGUCUGAACCAGCCAAGUAGCGUGAAGGAUGACUGCCCUAUGGGUUGUAAACUUCUUUUAUAUGGGAAUAAAAUGUUCCACGUGUGGGAUUUUGUAUGUACCAUAUGAAUAAGGAUCGGCUAACUCCGUGCCAGCAGCCGCGGUAAUACGGAGGAUCCGAGCGUUAUCCGGAUUUAUUGGGUUUAAAGGGAGCGUAGGUGGAUUGUUAAGUCAGUUGUGAAAGUUUGCGGCUCAACCGUAAAAGUGCAGUUGAAACUGGCAGUCUUGAGUACAGUAGAGGUGGGCGGAAGUCGUGGUGUAGCGGUGAAAUGCUUAGAUAUCACGAAGAACUCCGAUUGCGAAGGCAGUUCACUGGACUGCAACUGACACUGAGGCUCGAAAGUGUGGGUAUCAAACAGGAUUAGAUACCCCUGUAGUC